AUGGCCAUCGUGCCAGAAUCUCUGCGCCGCAUCGCAGGCCGUCACAGCCGGCGCUUUUGGUCGCUGAACCAGGACCCGCCGAAGCCUGCCCGUCAUACUGGCCCCCGGAGCCACAUCGCGGUUCGCACAUGUCACGUCAACGACGAGACCUCCCGUAGUACCUGCCGCAACGGUGCAACCUCGAUCGCCACGCCCUCCGUGGUAGCGUGCUCCGCAUUGGCCUUGCCGAGCUGGAAGCAGGACGGUGCCCGCGUGGCGAUGGCUGUGGUGGCGGUGAGCUGCACGAGCCAGUGGGCAUCGAGGAUGCCACACACGCCGCGUCACCCGGGGUGUUAUCUAGCGCCACUAUCACGGAUUCACGGUGUCCCUUUGUGGGGCUGAGCCAACGGCA
rnacentral:lncRNA from 1 species